rnacentral:rRNA from 1 species
AACGUAGGGGACAAGCGUUAUCCGGAUUUACUGGGCGUAAAGCGCCCGUAGGCGGCCUGACAAGUUGGACGUGAAAGCUCCUGGCUUAACUGGGAGAGGCCGUUCAAAAACUGUCAAGCUAGAGUCUGGAAGAGGAGAGCGGAAUUCCCGGUGUAGUGGUGGAAUGCGUAGAGAUCGGGAGGAACACCAGUGGCGAAAGCGGCUCUCUGGUCCAAAACUGACGCUGAGGGGCGAAAGCGUGGGGAGCGAACGGG